UAUCAAUAAGCGGAGGAAAAGAAACCAACAGGGAUUGCCCUAGUAACGGCGAGUGAAGCGGCAACAGCUCAAAUUUGAAAUCUGGCGCAAGCCCGAGUUGUAAUUUGUAGAGGAUGCUUCUGGGUAGCGGCCGGUCUAAGUUCCUUGGAACAGGACGUCACAGAGGGUGAGAAUCCCGUAUGUGAUCGGCCCGCGCCCUCUACGUAGCUCCUUCGACGAGUCGAGUUGUUUGGGAAUGCAGCUCUAAAUGGGAGGUAAAUUUCUUCUAAAGCUAAAUACCGGCCAGAGACCGAUAGCGCACAAGUAGAGUGAUCGAAAGAUGAAAAGCACUUUGGAAAGAGAGUUAAAAAGCACGUGAAAUUGUUGAAAGGGAAGGGCUUGCAACCAGACUUGACGGCGGUGUUCCCCCGGGCUUCUGCCCGGGUUAUUCACCGUCGGCAGGCCAUCAUCGUCUGGGGCCGCUGGAGAAACCGUCAGGAAUGUGGCUCCCUCGGGAGUGUUAUAGCCUGGCGACAUGCAGCGUGCCCCGGGCGAGGUCCGCGCUUAGGCAAGGAUGAUGGCGUAAUGGUUGUCAGCCGCCCGUCUUGAAACACGGACCAAGGAGUCUAACAUCUAUGCGAGUGUUCGGGUGUCAAACCCCUACGCGUAAUGAAAGUGAACGGAGGUGGGAGCUUCGGCGCACCAUCGACCGAUCCUGAUGUCCUCGGAUGGAUUUGAGUAAGAGCAUAGCUGUUGGGACCCGAAAGAUGGUGAACUAUGCCUGAAUAGGGUGAAGCCAGAGGAAACUCUGGUGGAGGCUCGCAGCGGUUCUGACGUGCAAAUCGAUCGUCAAAUUU
rnacentral:rRNA from 1 species